CCUACGGGAGGCAGCAGUGAGGAAUAUUGGUCAAUGGACGAGAGUCUGAACCAGCCAAGUAGCGUGAAGGAUGACUGCCCUAUGGGUUGUAAACUUCUUUUAUAUGGGAAUAAAAUGUUCCACGUGUGGGAUUUUGUAUGUACCAUAUGAAUAAGGAUCGGCUAACUCCGUGCCAGCAGCCGCGGUAAUACAGAGGAUCCGAGCGUUAUCCGGAUUUAUUGGGUUUAAAGGGAGCGUAGGUGGAUUGUUAAGUCAGUUGUGAAAGUUUGCGGCUCAACCGUAAAAUUGCAGUUGAAACUGGCAGUCUUGAGUACAGUAGAGGUGGGCGGAAUUCGUGGUGUAGCGGUGAAAUGCUUAGAGAUCACGAAGAACUCCGAUUGCGAAGGCAGUUCACUGGACUGCAACUGACACUGAGGCUCGAAAGUGUGGGUAUCAAACAGGAUUAGAUACCCCUGUAGUC
rnacentral:rRNA from 1 species